rnacentral:rRNA from 1 species
AGAGUUUGAUCCUGGCUCAGGACGAACGCUGGCGGCGUGCCUAAUACAUGCAAGUCGAGCGGAGUUGUUCCUUCGGGGACAGCUUAGCGGCGGACGGGUGAGUAACACGUAGGCAACCUGCCCGUAAGACCGGGAUAACUCACGGAAACGUGUGCUAAUACCGGAUGAUCGGCUUCUCCGCAUGGAGGAGCUGUGAAAGA